AAAUGUACUAAAUGUUACCAUAACAACAGCAAAUGUACUAAAUGUUACCAUAACAACAGCAAAAGUCAUCUGGUCUUUAGUUAAAUGGGACAUCUCCACAAGUCAAGUCAAGACUUCAAUUGCCACUUCCUGUAUGGAAACGUCCUACUUCCUGUAUGGAAACGUCCUACUUCCUGUUGGGCACUUGUGCCUGAAGGACCAGCCAGGUGGGCCUGAAGGAGCAGCCAAGUGUGCCCUCACAUUAGUCAAUCAGGAACUCAACACAAACUUUUAUCCUACCCUGGACUACAAAGUUGUGUACUUUGGAGGUUUCCACUCCAUUUGGACUUUUCCCGGCACCUACUUUGGCGCCAAAACGUGGUGUUUGCUUCUGGAAUAAUCCACAUGGAACAUUGUCAUGAAGGCGCCCAAGAAGGACCAGAAGUUCCUGGCUGACUUUUCCCAGUCUAUUCAAUUGAAUGUUGUCACGACGUGGACUACGGUGCAGUUUCCUGCGUGGAUUGCUUUCCCUGGGUGCAAAACGACUUGACUGGAUGAAGCCCAGGAGAGGCAAGGGAAGGCAGGAAGGAGAGCGGGAGGGAGGGAGCCUCCCUGGAGGGAUCCCCCGCUCGUCAGACCCGUUUGACGGCUUCAUGGCUCCCAGCAGGGACCCACGCCAAGUGGAUCAUCAGGAACAAAAAAAAAAAAAAAAAAACCACAAAUCUUUGACUUCGUGCAUCCCGAAACUUGUCUGCAACUUUGAUGAGUCAGCCCAAAACCUCACCUUUUUUAAAAAAAAAAAGAAAAAAAGAUGACUUGUUUCAACAUGCGUGCGCACUCAUUAAGACAAAAGAAGACACACGCAGGAACGAUACACGCGUGUGUGCGCGCCCCCCGCGCUCCUCCUCCUCCUCCUCCCCACUCAACCGGGAGCGCAUUUCUAAUUAAGAAUUUAAUUUUCCACGUACAAAUUGUUGACUUUAUCUGGCGGGAACACAUGCUGCUGCCGCGGCGUGGAGGAGCGGAGGCGCAAUCUCGCCCCGCGGGGGGGGUGUGGAAAUUUAGGGAAGCGCGCAUGCAGGUGCGCGACAGUGUCGUAAAUCAUCAGUUAAAUGAAGACGCGUCAAGUUUCAUCCCAAUUUCUAACAAUAG